UACGUAGGGGGCGAGCGUUGUCCGGAUUUAUUGGGCGUAAAGAGCGUGUAGGCGGUUCGGUAAGUCUGUCGUGAAAUCCUGAGGCUCAACCUCGGGCGUGCGAUGGAUACUGCCGGGCUAGAGGGUGGUAGAGGCGAGUGGAAUUCCUGGUGUAGCGGUGAAAUGCGCAGAUAUCAGGAAGAACACCCGUGGCGAAAGCGGCUCUCUGGAACGGUACUGACGCUGAGACGCGAAAGCGUGGGGAGCGAACAGG
rnacentral:rRNA from 1 species